rnacentral:sRNA from 1 species
GCCGGGCACAGUAGCACAUGCCUGUAAUCCCAGUGGCUGGGAGGCUGAGGCAGGAGGAUUGCAAGUUCAAAACCAGCCUCAGCAACUUAGCAAGGUCCUAAGCUCUUCAGCAAGAUCUUGUCUCUA